rnacentral:rRNA from 1 species
AACGUAGGGGGCCAGCGUUGUCCGGAUUUACUGGGCGUAAAGAGCGCGUAGGCGGCUUAGUAAGCGGAAGGUGUAAUCCCGAGGCUCAACCUCGGAACUGCCCUCCGAACUGCUAGGCUUGAGUACGGGAGAGGAUAGUGGAAUUCCUGGUGUAGCGGUGGAAUGCGUAAAUAUCAGGAGGAACACCGGUGGCGAAGGCUGCUAUCUGGAACGUAACUGACGCUGAGGCGCGAAAGCUAGGGUAGCGAACGGGAUUAGAUACC